rnacentral:lncRNA from 1 species
CUUUUUUUUAUAAAUUUUCAAAAAAUUACAUUAAAAUAUGAAAUUUUAAUUCAAUAUAAAAAAUAUUAGAAAAAAUAAAAUAAAAUUAUCAUUUUCUAUAAUGGAAAAAAAUUGCAUAUGCUCAUCAUUUUAUUUUUUAAAUAAUUUUAAAAAAAUUAAAAUAAUUCAGCUAAAAAUAGAAAUAAAUAUGCGGAAAAAAAAUUGUAAGGUUUGAAGUGGGAUUCUCUCUUCUUUUUAAGUUCUCUGUUAACGGAGAGAGAGAGAGAAAGAGAGAUUUGAAGUGAGAUUCUCUCUCCUCUUUUAUUUCUCUGUUAACGGUGUUACUAGCUGCAUCCCACUUCUGACUUUUUUAUAAAACAAUCAUCUAAAAUUUUAAAAUUUGCGAAAUAACCCUCUCAAAAUUUUAUUUGGAAAACUAACCUUCCUUUCGCCACGUCGGCGCCACGUCAGAAUUUCUUUUAAAGGCGGUGAAUCGUUCCUCGCUUUCUUCUAUUUUUUUUAAAGGCGGUGAAUCGUUCCCCGCUUUCUCCCAUUUCUUUUAAAGACGGUGAAUUAUUUACCGCCUUUCACUUAUUUAAUGUUUCUUUCUAUAUCCCAUAUAUAAUUCUAACAACCAUAUAAAAAUUUUAACAAAUCACAUAUAAUCUUAACAACCUUUAAAUCCUAAUAAUUUAUCCAUAUAAUUUCAUACAAUCUUAACAGCCUGAAAUUCUAAUAAUCUAUCCAUACAAUCUUAAUAAUCAAAUAAAAAUUUUAAUGAUCCACAUAUAAUCCUAACAAUCUCACUUUUUUCUAUUUCCCAUAUAAUCCAUGCACAAUUUUAAUGAAUGUGGUGAACGAUUCACCGUAUUUAAAAGAAAUAGAAAAAAGCGGGAAACGAUUCAUUGCUUUUAAAAAGGAAUGGAAAAAAGCGAAAAAUGAUUCACCGCCUUUAAAAAAAAAGGGAGAAAACGGAAAACGAUUCACCGUCUUUGUAAGAAAAUCCUGACUUGGAGCCCACGUGGCGAAAGGAGAGUUAGUUUAACAAAUAAAAUUUUCACAGUGUCAUUUUGCCAAUUAUAGUUUUUUGGAGGGUCAUUUUAUAAAAAAACCCUCCCACUUCAUCCCACUUAUUCUCCCAAACCUGUGCACGAAUCUCAAAGAGGAUCCAAUGGUUUAAAACACUAUAGUAUAGGAGCUUCUAUACUAUUGAUAGUAUAGAAGCACAACUCUAUAUAUAUAUAUAUAUAUAUAUAUAUAUAUAUAUAUAGAGAGAGAGAGAGAGAGAGAGAGAGAGAGAGAGAGAGAGAGAGAGAGAGAGAGAGAGAGAGAGAGAGAGAGAGAGAGUGUGGGUAGAAUACUAUUGGUAGCAAAAGAGCUCCGUUGCCACCCAUUUAUUUUCGAUAAUGGAGCCUCUAAAUCGAUGAUCGGCACCAUAGAAUAUGAUCUAUACCACUUGAAGUAUCUAGAAAUUAAAUUUAAUGCUUUUUCGAUAUUAUUCUCUUGUCCAUCAAGCGGAUGUAAAAAUGAACGGCUGAAAAUAAAUAUUCUUUAAAAAGUGAUGAUAGAAAUUUUGUGAUCAAAAUCGAGAGUAUAGAUCUUGUUCUAAAUAGUUUAAAUAAUUUUCUAAUCAAAAUUCAAUUGAUACAAAAAAAUGCCUAAUAUCUACCAUUAAAAUUAUAAAUUUUGAAACCCUUUGAUCAUUAGGUCAAUGAUGUCGAAAAGAUUUGAAAUUUGGUUUCUAAAUACUUCAAGUGGUAUAGAUCAUGUUCAACAAUUCUGAAAAAGUUAUUUAGUCAAAUAACUCUUCUUUUACCAACUCGGUACUGGAAUGAAUAUUUCUGUCAAAACCGAUGAAUCUUUCACCGCCUUCAAAAAGACGGUGAAUAAUUCGCCAUCUUCUAAACUUCUUCUUAAAGUGGUGAAUCGUUAACGAUAUUUUUGAAGGCGGUGAACGAUUUACUAUUUUUAAGAGAUUGAUUUCUAGAUGGCACGAUAAAUUCCUAAUAGAUACCACAAAUUUUAUUUAUAAUAAUCACUUUGUAUGAUAAAUUUUAAGUAGAUAUUUGCAAGGGUAUUUGGUAAAGGCAUUUGAUGGAGGACGACGCUUAGAGUGAUGACUACGAAUCUUUGUAAAAACUUAAAAGGAGUGUUUAAGAGAGUUCAUGUUUUGCUUAUCACAACUUUAAACGGGCGCGGAAAAACAUUGUUCAAUGAUUUGGGCUUGUUGAAUUUAAAAUAUCUACGGAAGAUUUGUUGUACAAAGUGAUUGUGUAAAUAAAAUUUAAGAUAAAGAUAGUGAACAAUUUACAGCUUUAUUAGAAAAUUUAAAAGUAAUAAAUUGUUUACUGUCUUUUUUUGAGGGCGUUGAACGAUUAACCUUUUUAACAAAAUUAUCUAUUUUGGCUUGAGUUUGAAAAAGAAGAAUUAUUUAAAAAGCUAAAGUUUUUAAAAUAUUAUUUAAUUAAUUAUAUAAUUUUAUAAAGUUAUUUGAAAA